UACGAAGGGUGCAAGCGUUACUCGGAAUUACUGGGCGUAAAGCGUGCGUAGGUGGUGAGUUAAGUCUGAUGUGAAAUCCCCGGGCUCAACCUGGGAAUGGUAUUGGAUACUGGCUCGCUAGAGUGCGGUAGAGGGUGGUGGAAUUCCCGGUGUAGCAGUGAAAUGCGUAGAGAUCGGGAGGAACAUCUGUGGCGAAGGCGGCCACCUGGACCAACACUGACACUGAGGCACGAAAGCGUGGGGAGCAAACAGG
rnacentral:rRNA from 1 species